rnacentral:tRNA from 1 species
NNAGGUUUAGCUCAGCUGGGAGAGCAUCUGCCUUACAAGCAGAGGGUCACAGGUUCGAACCCUGUAACCUCCA